rnacentral:rRNA from 1 species
UACGUAGGGUGCGAGCGUUGUCCGGAAUUAUUGGGCGUAAAGAGCUUGUAGGCGAUUUGUCGCGUCUGCUGUGAAAAUCCGGGGCUCAACCCCGGACUUGCGGUGGGUACGGGCAGACUAGAGUGUGGUAGGGGAGACUGGAAUUCCUGGUGUAGCGGUGAAAUGCGCAGAUAUCAGGAGGAACACCGAUGGCGAAGGCAGGUCUCUGGGCAUUAACUGACGCUGAGGAGCGAAAGCAUGGGUAGCGAACAGG